GGCUUUGUAGCUCAGCUGAUACAGCGCCUAUCGCCGUUAGGCACGCUGCUUCUGUCGCUGGUUCGAAUCCAGUCGAAGCUC